GCGUUAUCCGGAUUCACUGGGUUUAAAGGGUGCGUAGGCGGGCAGGUAAGUCCGUGGUGAAAUCCCUGAGCUCAACUCAGGAACUGCCAUGGAUACUAUCUAUCUUGAAUAUUGUGGAGGUAAGCGGAAUAUGUCAUGUAGCGGUGAAAUGCUUAGAUAUGACAUAGAACACCAAUUGCGAAGGCAGCUUACUACGCAGAUAUUGACGCUGAGGCACGAAAGCGUG
rnacentral:rRNA from 1 species